CCGAAGACACAUUGGUUUUCGCUCUCUAACUUUAGUUUAAGUGAAUGGAUCUAUGAAAUUUUACCAUAAGGUUCAAUACCACAAAAGGAAGGUUGGGAUUGAUUUUGGGGGUUAUGGUACCAACAGUUAAGGAAAUAUGGACCAAAAUGGGGCCAAAAAUAAGCAUUUUUGUAACUUCCAGACAUAACUUGUGUGUUAGUGUAUGGAUCUCUCUGACAUUGUACCACAAGGUUCCAUAUCACAAAGGGAAUGCUGGGAUUGAUUUUGGGGGUAAUUGCCUCAAAAUUUUAGGAAUUAGGGGCCAAAAAAGGGGCAAAAAACAAGCAUUUUUCUAGUUUCAUGACAAUAACUUGUGUGUAAGUGUAUGGAUCUUUCUGAAAUUGUACUACAAGGUUCCAUAUCACAAAGGGAAAGCUGGGUUUGAGUUUGGGGGUAAUUGCCCUAAACGUUUAGGAAUUUGGGGCCAAAAAGGGGCAAAAAAACAAGCAUUUUUCUGGUUUCCAGACAAUAACUUGUGUUCAAGUGUACGGAUCUCUCUGAAAUUGUACUGCAAGGCACCAUACAUUGUAACACAAAGGGAAGGCUGGGAUUGAGUUUGGGGGUGAUGAAUCAUUAGGGGGUUCAAAAAAUUUAAGGGGGGAUUUUUUUCCCCUUUUUUUCUUUAAAAUUUUCCAUUUUAAAUUGGUUAUUUCUGAUU